AUUGAACGCUGGCGGCAGGCUUAACACAUGCAAGUCGAGCGGGGGAAGGUAGCUUGCUACUGGACCUAGCGGCGGACGGGUAAGUAAUGCUUAGGAAUCUACCUAUUAGUGGGGGACAACAUCUCGAAAGGGAUGCUAAUACCGCAUACGUCCUACGGGAGAAAGCAGGGGAUCUUCGGACCUUGCGCUAAUAGAUGAGCCCAAGUCGGAUUAGCUAGUUGGUGGGGUAAAGGCCUACCAAGGCGACGAUCUGUAGCGGGUCUGAGAGGAUGAUCCGCCACACUGGGACUGAGACACGGCCCAGACUCCUACGGGAGGCAGCAGUGGGGAAUAUUGGACAAUGGGGGGAACCCUGAUCCAGCCAUGCCGCGUGUGUGAAGAAGGCCUUAUGGUUGUAAAGCACUUUAAGCGAGGAGGAGGCUACUCUAGUUAAUACCUAGGGAUAGUGGACGUUACUCGCAGAAUAAGCACCGGCUAACUCUGUGCCAGCCGCCGCGGUAA
rnacentral:rRNA from 1 species